CUGUCUCCAGCAAUGAUUUUGACAGGGUGACAAUCCAGUGUACAUAUGCUCUGGCUGGACUACUCUCAGUAUACAGGUUUCAGUCUGACACGGCUGGUGUUGGCCGUAUUGUGCAUUCUGCACACUCCACUGAAGGUCUACUGGGUCCCACCAUCAGCCCACUACAGUGCCUCAAACUUCAU